rnacentral:rRNA from 1 species
GAUGAACGCUGGCGGCGUGCCUAAUACAUGCAAGUCGAGCGAACAGACGAGAGUGCUUGCACUCUCUGACGUUAGCGGCGGACGGGUGAGUAGCACGUGGGUAACCUACCUAUAAGACUGGGAUAACUUCGGGAAACCGGAGCUAAUACCGGAUAAUAUUUAGCUUCGCAUGAAGCAAUAGUGAAAGACGGUUCUGCUGUCACUUAUAGAUGGACCCGCGGUGUAUUAGCUAGUUGGUGAGGUAACGGCUCACCAAGGCAACGAUACAUAGCCGACCUGAGAGGGUGAUCGGCCACACUGGGACUGAGACACGGCCCAGACUCCUACGGGAGGCAGCAGUAGGGAAUCUUCCGCAAUGGACGAAAGUCUGACGGAGCAAUGCCGCGUGAGUGAAGAAGGUUUUCGGAUCGUAAAACUCUGUUGUAAGGGAAGAACAAGUACGUUAGUAACUGAACGUACCUUGACGGUACCUUACCAGAAAGCCACGGCUAACUACGUG